UGGGGAAUAUUGCACAAUGGGGGAAACCCUGAUGCAGCGACGCCGCGUGGAGGAAGAAGGUCUUCGGAUUGUAAACUCCUGUUGUUGAGGAAGAUAAUGACGGUACUCAACAAGGAAGUGACGGCUAACUACGUGCCAGCAGCCGCGGUAAAACGUAGGUCACAAGCGUUGUCCGGAAUUACUGGGUGUAAAGGGAGCGCAGGCGGGAAGACAAGUUGGAAGUGAAAUCCAUGGGCUCAACCCAUGAACUGCUUUCAAAACUGUUUUUCUUGAGUAGUGCAGAGGUAGGCGGAAUUCCCGGUGUAGCGGUGGAAUGCGUAGAUAUCGGGAGGAACACCAGUGGCGAAGGCGGCCUACUGGGCACCAACUGACGCUGAGGCUCGAAAGUGUGGGUAGCAAACAGGAUUAGAUACCCUGGUAGUCCACACCGUAAACGAUGAUUACUAGGUGUUGGAGGAUUGACCCCUUCAGUGCCGCAGUUAACACAAUAAGUAAUCCACCUGGGGAGUACGACCGCAAGGUUGAAACUCAAAGGAAUUGACGGGGGCCCGCACAAGCAGUGGAGUAUGUGGUUUAAUUCGACGCAACGCGAAGAACCUUACCAAGUCUUGACAUCCCUUGACGAUGCUGGAAACAGUAUUUCUCUUCGGAGCAAGGAGACAGGUGGUGCAUGGUUGUCGUCAGCUCGUGUCGUGAGAUGUUGGGUUAAGUCCCGCAACGAGCGCAACCCUUAUGGUCAGUUACUACGCAAGAGGACUCUGGCCAGACUGCCGUUGACAAAACGGAGGAAGGUGGGGAUGACGUCAAAUCAUCAUGCCCUUUAUGACUUGGGCUACACACGUACUACAAUGGCGUUAAACAAAGAGAAGCAAGACCGCGAGGUGGAGCAAAACUCAGAAACAACGUCCCAGUUCGGACUGCAGGCUGCAACUCGCCUGCACGAAGUCGGAAUUGCUAGUAAUCGCAGAUCAGCAUGCUGCGGUGAAUACGUUCCC
rnacentral:rRNA from 1 species